rnacentral:snoRNA from 1 species
UUGCAAGCCUUGCAGCAUGUGAGUCCCAUGAUGCAGAGCCUUCCUGCAGGCUAGCGAGAGUGUCCCAAGGUGGUCUGAGGCCUUGCUCUGUCACCUCUUUGCAGCAUGGAGCAUGGUGAGAGAUAGUUCAGACAAUC